CGAAACAGCAUAUGAUCCUGUACUCAGCAUUUUAAAAUCUUUUAUAUCUUCAAGCUGUUCAGAAGUAGAUAGACGUUCUUUUAUGCCUCCAGUUAUGUAUAAAAUGGUAAAAUGUAUCGUACGAAAAUUAUUACACAUUUUUCAAUAUAUUCAACAAGGUCUUACUUUUAUUACUUUGAAGAUACCCACUACAUCAUGUGAACUGAAAUUAUGUAUAUAGGUAUCCAUGAAUAUCUAUUGUGUCAUCUUUCUUUUAAAAUUAUUUGACUUAUACCUAUAGAAAAUGUGUUCGUUCCCAAGAAAGAUACAACCUCAAUAUUUGGAAUUUAGAGAACAAGAGUGAUGGAGAAAAAAUCUGGCAACAUUUUUAAUACUCCAUUUACAGAAAAUGCGACUUGGCUCGUAACUUUAUUCAAAUCUGAAAACCCAAGUUUUUCGAGAUUGCUGUUUCAAUAUUCAUUAACAGAGCCACAUGCAACAAUAAUUUUGAGCAUAGCUGUUACAUACUCUAGAUAAAACUAUAGAAUUUGCUUAUGUAUGUAUGUAUGUGUUUAUGCAUGUAUGUAUAAAAUAACCACUUAGUUAUUUUUUAAACAACUGACUAGGAGAAAGACACUCCGAUAUAAAACUUAAGGAUUGUUCUGAUCUGGUUGUCCCAUCCACUGCUAAGCCAAUGAGAGAAUAUCUCUUGUACCUGAAAAGUGAAUCCAGUUUCGUGCACACUUCACUCACUAUAAUGAAUUUGACGAACAGAAAGUUCUUGGAUAAUACAUUAUGGAAAGAAACAUGUAACACUUUAAGAGGCUGACUCACACGAUAGAGCUUAACUUCGAACAUGAACAGUUUGAGGUAUUGGUGAACAGUCAACGGCACUGGAGAGCAUAAAGAUUAAAAAAUCUACUACAGAAAAAUUUGUAAGACUGCAAGACGCGACAUGUUCAGCUGCAACAAAGAUUACGAAGCUGUUGUCAAGGUAGCUGAAACGAUUUUUUCUGAUCCCCCAUGACAGAUAAAAUGCUCACAAAAGAAAUGAAAAGUCAUCCAGGAAACAGUGCUAUAUGUAAGGAACCAUAUGGUUUAGAAAUUGCCAAACUUCUAAAUGUCACAAGAUCACAAAGUUCGCAUGGAAUUGGAAGGCUCCUGCGGAAAUGGUUCAACUCUAUCAAAGAAGAAAAGUACUUAAAAUUUUCAGAUGUCAUAAACGACACCAUAAUUCAUUCAGCGGAUUCUAAGCAUUAUUGAUAAUGAUACUGGAAAAUCAAUAAAGCCAUAUCCAAAUAACUUCAGGCGUCCAAGUUGUCUAUCAUAACUGUGGUGUACGAGGACAUUCGAUACAAGUAGUAGUCAAUCCAUGUCAGCAAAACACAGAAAAACUGCUCGAUCGUUGACAAGCAGUUACUUAUCAAGAUUAAAGCUCCCCACUAAC